CUUCUCCACUAAGAGUGUGCUUGUUUACAUGGAAGCUGAAUUUGAGCAAAGCAGCUUGGGAGAAAGUGUUCUAUCAGAGAGACUUAGGGGUUAGUGUUGCCAAUUUGACCCAAGCUAGAAUCCUCUGGAAAGAGGGGACCUCAAUUGAGAAAAUGCUUCCAGGAGAUACAGUUUUAAGGAAUUUUCUUAAUUAGUGAUUGCUAGGGAAGGGCUCAGCCCAUUGUGGAUGGUACCAUCACUGGGCUGGUGGUUCUGGACUCUAUAAGAAAGAAGUGUACUAAGCCAGGAGGAGCAAGCCAGUAAGCAGCAUCCCUCCAUGGCCUCUGUAUCAACCCGCUGGAGUUCCUGUCCUGGCUUCCUUCAAUGACUGCCUGACCAUAGCUGAGCUGAUAUCUGAUCAUUAUAUUCUGCUCAGGAGAGGGCAUCAGAUACUACAACCUGGCCAUCAGCCCCCCCCCCAUGCCUGCUUUCUCUCCGUGGACCCCACUUUUCUGUCUCCUCCUCUGCACAGCAUCUCAAUGAAUUAGCCUGAGAGCUGUACCCA
ensembl:antisense Gm15564 predicted gene 15564